UACGGAGGAUGCAAGCGUUAUCCGGAUUCAUUGGGUUUAAAGGGUGCGUAGGCGGGCUAUUAAGUCAGUGGUGAGAUCCUGCAGCUUAACUGCAGAACUGCCGUUGAUACUGAUAGUCUUGAGUUUGGUUAAGGUAGGCGGAAUGUGUAAUGUAGCGGUGAAAUGCUUAGAUAUUACACAGAACACCAACUGCGUAGGCAGCUUACUGAGCCGACACUGACGCUGAGGCACGAAAGCGUGGGGAUCAAACAGGA
rnacentral:rRNA from 1 species